rnacentral:ncRNA from 1 species
UCUUAUUUAGAGAGGUGGAGGGAAGUGCCCUUUGAAGCCCGGCAACCGUCAUUUAAUUGAAAUGGUGCCAAUUCACUCAAAGCUGUAGCUUUGAAAGAUGAGA